AGACGCUGGCGGCGUGCCUAACACAUGCAAGUCGAACGGAGCUAUUGACUUCGGUUGAUAGCUUAGUGGCGAACGGGUGAGUAACGCGUGAGCAACCUGUCUUUCAGAGGGGGAUAACAACGAGAAAUCGUUGCUAAUACCGCAUAAGACCACACUGUCGCAUGGCAGAGGGGUAAAAGGAGCAAUCCGCUGAUUGGAGGGGCUCGCGUCCCAUUAGAUAGUAGGUGAGGUAACGGCUCACCUAGUCUGCGAUGGGUAGCCGAGCUGAGAGGCUGAACGGCCACACUGGAACUGAGACACGGUCCAGACUCCUACGGGAGGCAGCAGUGGGGAAUAUUGGGCAAUGGGACGAAAGCCUGACCCAGCAACGCCGCGUGAGGGAAGAAGGUCUUCGGAUUAGUAAACCUCUGUUCUUGGUGAACGAAAAAGAUGACGGUAGCCAAGGAGAAAGCCCCGGCUAACUACGUG
rnacentral:rRNA from 1 species